rnacentral:lncRNA from 1 species
GCUUCUAGUAGGCCAAACUCCCAGGUGACCCCCGCAAGAAACGCGGUCCGGAGAGGGUCUGGCCCCACUGCUGGGGCAAGGGCUCUAGGCGCCCGGACCCCACGCCCGCAGCCUGCGGAGAACGUGCCGACAAGGACCUGUAGGGCCCCACUCCCCCUCCUCCCUCCCUCGGCGCAGCCCGGCCCAGGGGUCUGUCCUCCCAGGCCCAGGAAAGGAGGAAACCCACUUCCGCCGCGUCCAUGAUCUCCCGCGGCUUCUCCUGACUCUUGCGGCUGGCGCUGGCGCUGGGCAUCGGGACACGGAACUGGGCAGUGGACACCACCCUCCCUCGCAGGCUUCCAAAGUAAUUUGAAGGCCUUCCCUGACUUAAAGUGGAUGCUGCUUUGGAAAGCACUGGAAAAAUGGAUCCUGUCUUUCUUAGCCAAGGACUGGUCUCUUUUCUCCAAUGUGUCCCUAACAGAGUGGUGAGGCUGGCUCUUCCCACCAGUACAGGUAAUGUGGUAAAGAUAGGACCACGUGGACGAAGAGGUAUUACCUUCUCUAAUUACAGCUAACAAAGACCUAGGCCUAACCUCAACUGCACCUUCUGUCUCUGGGAAGUCACUUAUAGAGUAGACCUAUAAUUAGGAUUUGGUACCGGAAACAUAAUUCUCAGGAUGGUGAAUCUCUAAAUUAUGUCCCCAGAGACAUACCUGAGACAAAACCCUAAGGGCUGUUGGCCGUAAGAGGGUGUGUGUGGUAUUCUACAUUCAGUAGGGAUUUAUAAAUGAGGAUGAUAUCACUCA